rnacentral:misc_RNA from 1 species
UUUACAAAAAUAUUUUAAGUUGUUUGUUAACAUGCCGGGUGUGUAUGGUUGAUAAGAAAAGAGUGCAGACGUUAUUUUUGUUAAUAUUAACCUCCAAAGAUAUGACAAGCCACAAUGCUAAAAGUCCGGAUGUAGUCGGAUGAGAACAUGUAACCGCAGUUGUUAUUUGUGUAAAUGUUAUCACAUAUUUUUAAAACUAUAAGGUCUUGUUUUUGCAAAACACAUUCAAACAUUUGAUCACGUUCAUGCUGUGUGAAUUUCGCCUAUAAAUACUGAAACAGACGAGCAUAUACCACAGUCGACAUCUGACAGUUUCUACAGUAUAGUUGCAGUGUUCAGUGGAAAAUAUUCAAUUAAGAUAUUCCUAGCGUUCAGACGUGUGCUCUGGUGAGUUUUAUAUCGUUCAGAAGUGUGCUCUGUUGAGUGGCAAACUUUGAAUAUUUUUUGAUUUUGUCGAAAACAAUUUUUUUUUGAAAUUUUUAAAACAUAUUUAGUGUUUGGGUUCUAAUUUUUUUGAAUUCUAAGUUUUGAAUAUUUAUUAUUAUGUUAUUACUUAGUGUUGUUUGAUUUGGUCAGUUUUUUUUAAUAACGAAAACAUGAACACAUUCUUAGUCACUAAAGAUACAUUUAAGAAAAUUCGUAUUUCUCAUCCUUUAAUAACGAAAACAUGAACAAAUUCUUAGUCACUAAAGAUACAUUUAAGAAAAUUCGUAUUUCUCAUCCUUUAAUAACGAAAACAUGAACAAAUUCUUAGUCACUAAAGAUACAUUUAAGAAAAUUCGUAAAUUUGGCCUCCAGGGACGAACUCUGGAAUUUAAAAUCAGGGAUGUGCCGCAGAGUGAGGAACCUGUGGGAUGGGUAAAAAAGGCCAUCGAGGAGAUUGUACUUAAGGGAACAGAAGGUUUGGAACCAACCGAUCAGGUCGGUUUCACUUUUUGCUCGAAAGACUUUGCCAGAGGUCAGGGUUGGAUGAGGUUCAAGCCUGCCUGUGAAGUGACCGUUGAUGAUAUAUGGGAUAAGAUUAGUUCCAUAUAUCAGAGUAAUAGCACCGGCCUCAAUACCGAAACAUUUUGUUUGGGUAUUACGACGGUAAAACUGCCCGCGGGAAAAGGUGGUCCGAGAGGAAGAGCUUAUAACUCCUUUAACGAGGAGUGUUUGAAAAGGCGAGGAACUGUUGUUAUUAAAAACAAGGAUAAUCUUUGUUUACCUCGUGCUCUUGUGGUUGCAAAAGCUCACGUAGAUAAGGACCAAGAAUGGAAGAAGGUACGUCAAGAUAUUGGAAAAAUACAAGGACAAAGAGCCCAUCAACUGAUUGAAGCCGCUAAUGUAACAAUUCCUGUCGGAGGGGCAGGAAUACCCGAACUACAACAGUUUCAGGGACACCUCACAGAUUACAAAAUUGUGGUGUAUAGUUAUGGUAGCAAGGGUCGUGACGUUAUGUUCUGUGGUAACACUAAUGGUCCAGCGUUAAAUCUUUUGUAUCAUGAAGGACACUUUAACGUGAUCACUUCUUUGACAGCUGCUUUUUGUUGUAUUUAUUAUUGUGAGGAGUGCCACCAGCCGUUUAACAACAAAAACGACCACAGAUGUGGUGGUACAUGUUUUGCUUGUCGUCGUUCACCAGCUUGUUCCAAAGAUUGCGUGAAAAUACCCUGCGAUCAAUGUGGUCGAAACUUCUACGGUAAGGCAUGUUUCAAUGCUCACCUAGGAUCGGUAUGCGAUAAAAUCAAAAGGUGUAGGACCUGUUACAAGAUCUACACCAAAAGUCAUGUCUGUGGUGAGGUCUUCUGUAAAACUUGUAAGAAAAAUUGUCCGUCAGAUCAUCUUUGUUACAUACAGCCCGAUUCUGGUCUUCCUCCAUCAAGCGAUUUUCUAUUUAUAUUUUAUGAUUUGGAAACUAGUCAGGAAAAGAUAUUGGCUGAUGGUUCGCUUCUUCAAGAACCAAAUCUCUGUGUAUUUAAUCAACGUUGUUACAAAUGUCUCCCUGAGAUGAAAUUAGUUUUCUGUCAAUCUUGUGGAUUUCGCCAAAAGAUUUUGAGGGGUCUUGACGUAAUAAGUCUUUUUAUGAAUCAUAUUUUGCAAAUUAGAAAAAAAUUCAAGAAUGUUGUCGUGUUAGCUCACAAUGGAGGAGGCUUCGACCAUCAAUUUAUUUUAAAUUAUAUUUUAACAAAGACUGAUUUAACCCCUGAUCUCAUUAUGCGUGGUACAAAGUUGGUGUCAAUGGCUGUUGGUAACGCUCGUUUUCUCGAUAGUCUUAAUUACUUUCCAAUGGCGUUGUCUGCUCUACCUAAAGCUUUUGGGUUGACAGAGUUGAAAAAGGGAUAUUUUCCACAUCUGUUUAACAGAGAGGAAAAUCAAUCUUAUGUUGGACCUAUGCCUGAUCUAAAAUUUUACGAUCCCGAUAAUUUAAAAGAUGAUGCACGUGACAAGCUGAUCGCGUGGCACGCUGAAAGAGUAGAUGAGGGAUACGUUUUUGAUUUUCAAAAGGAAAUUGUUGAAUAUUGUAUUAGCGAUGUUGAGAUUUUGACUAAGGCUUGUCUCACUUUCAGAAAACAGUUGAUGGAUACUUCAAAUGUCUGUCCGUUUUUCGAGGCAACAACUGUUGCAUCGACGUGUAACAAGGUAUUCAGGCGUAAUUUCUUACAACCAAACACAAUAGCCCUUAUUCCAAAAGGUGGCUAUCGUUUUAAAGAUAAUCAGUCGAAAAUAGCUUUGCAGUGGUUAUUGUGGGAAGAGAAGCAACGUUGUAUUAAAAUUCAGCAUGCCGCCAGGGGACCUGAAGCUCUUAUUGGAAAUUGUAGGGUGGACGGUCUUUACGAAAACACCAUCUUUGAUUUUCAAGGUUGUUAUUACCACGGUUGUCCUACUUGUUACCCUACAGAUAGAACUGCACCCCUUCAUGACGAUCCUUCAGAUUGUAUGGAAAAUCGUCAUGAUAAAACAAUUGCUAAAGUUAAGCAUCUCAGAUCAAUAGGAUAUGAGGUGGUUGAAAUAUGGGAAUGUCAAUUCCGUAAAAUGCUGACGGCCGAGAUAAAGGCGUAUACCGAGGGGCAUCCUCUUAUGGCUAGUUUACCUUUGAAUCCUAGAGAUGCUUUAUAUGGUGGUCGUACAGGCAAUACUGUAGAGUAUUACAAGUGUAAAGAUGGUGAAAAAAUUAAAUACGUUGAUGUUUGUUCGCUUUAUCCGUGGGUAUGCAAGUACGGAAAGUUCCCAAUCGGACAUCCAAAGAAAAUAUAUAUUGGACAGGAAUGCACUGCUGUAGACAUUACUGAGUUAUCUGGAUUAAUAAAGUGUAAAGUGCUUCCUCCUACAAACCUCUAUCAUCCUGUUCUUCCUACCAAGAUGAACAGUAAAUGUAUGUUCGUUUUAUGCCGAAAGUGUGGAGAGGACUUUGCGGAAGAAGAGUGUGAGCAUUCGAAUGAUGAACGGGCUCUAACAGGUACUUGGGUGAUUGAGGAGGUAGUGAAAGCUUUAUCAAAGGGUUAUAAAAUAAUUGAGACCUAUGAGAUAUGGUCCUAUGAUACUUUACAGUUAUCGAAAUCUCAGAAAGGUCUUUUUUCCGAUAUGAUGAACAAAUUUAUCAAAGUGAAACAACAAGCUUCAGGGUGGCCGCGAGGAUGUGUAUCGGAUGAGGAAAAGAGCCGGUACAUCGAGGAGUUUCUUCAGAGGGAGGAUGUCAGGCUGGAGUUUUCCGACAUAACGGAGAACCCUGGUCUGAGGUCGUUGGCUAAGCUUAUGCUCAAUUCUUUCUGGGGUAAGUUCGCUCAGCGAGAGAACCUCCCUAAAACAUCCAUAAUAAACAAGCCUGGAGAAUUUUUUGCUAUGUUGAUUAAUCCAUCCAUUCAGGUUAAUACGGUGAUCCCUGUAAAUGAGGACACACUGGUUGUUACGUGGGAGUAUGUGAAGGAGGCGUACUCAAUGUCGUCAGCAGUUAAUGUUGUUCUGGCAUCAUACGUUACGGCUCUGGCUCGUCUCAAAUUGUACUCUUAUCUGGAGAUUAUUGGGUCUCGGGCAAAAUAUUACGACACAGAUUCGUCUAUUUACCUUUCCAAGGCUGGCUUACCUGAUCUCCCAAUAGGUGAGUGUAUAGGUGACUUAACUGAUGAGUUGGGUGGGGGGUAUAUUUCAGAGUUCGUUUCUGGAGGGCCUAAAAAUUACGCAUAUAAAUACACUUUGCCUAACGGUGAAGAAAAAAUUUGUUGUAAGGUUAAAGGUAUUUGUCUAAAUUAUGAGGCAUCUAAAUUAGUUAAUUUCGAUACCAUUAAGAAGAUGGUACUUAUGAAGUCUGACCCUGUUUCUGUGGUGACUAAACAAAUACAAAGGACACAGGAUCAUUGUGUUAUCACAAAAACCCUUGAAAAAAAAUAUAGACCAAACUCAGCAAAAAGAAAAUUUUUUGAAGAUUUUACAUCCGUACCUUAUGGUUAUAAAAAACUUAAAAUUUAAACUAUAGCCCAGACUCAGCUUUUUUAUUUUUUAACACUAUACCUGUUUAACACUCACAAUCAACAUUUUUAAUUAGUAAGUUAUAUAUUAAUAGAUUACUUUUUGUUUUGUCAACAGUGGAUGCUUUUUCCUCUGCGAUACAACCGAUCGUCUGUCACACUGAAAAGUGGGUUACUAAAAAGUUGUAGUGAGUUGUCGUUUGUCCUACAUGAUUAAACAUCUUUAAAAGAUGUUCAGUUAAGACCAUUAAAAGAUAUCUGAUAUAUAGCCCACUGGCAAAUUAAUGAGCCGUUCUGGUUACGUCCGUUGCUCGUGUAGCCGCUCAUUAUAAAAGAUGGCAAUCAGAUCAUAAAAAGAUGUCUGCUGAACCAUUUCCUGUAUGUUUAAAAAAGAUGUUCAGUUAAGGUCACUAAAAGAUAUUCGUUAUAAAAAUGUACUAUAAAUAAUGUUAAUAAAAAGAUACCUGCUGAACCAUUUCCGGUAUUUUAAAAUACAAUAAACAGUUUUCGGCUAUGAACCACUUUGUGAUUUUGUAACAUCAUUACAGCUUUGCUCGUUACUUACUAGAAGGUGGGGCAACAAUCGCUUGUUCUAUGCUAUCACAAAUAUAUAUAUAUAUUGAAUCACAUUUGAUUCCUCUGAGGAAAUUUGGUGGUUGUAGGCCUCUAGGGGAUGGUGUCCACGAUAAAACACCAACGAGGUAUGUGUUGUACCUCAUGGGUGCCUUGGAAAUCAACACGAGUAACCUUUGUUUCAGAUUAUCCUUGAAAAAAAAAAUCAGCACGAGCUAUGUUAGCUUUAACGUGACGACCUUUACGACAUGCUUUUUCUUUACGACAAUACUGUUAGAUAUGUCUUUAUACAUUAACAAAAGUUUUUUUUCUACCUAGGUAUACUCUAAGUGUAUAUAAUUUUUUUUCUCAAUAUAUCUGAUACAUAAUACCUUUAAAUAUGGUCCUCCUUUUGGAGUAUAAAAAGGACGGUCGACUUUUAACCCGCACGGAUGCACGUCUAUAUGUACCUUUACGAAGGGAAUUGUACAUAAACCUAUAAGCUGAUCGUAAUCCAUAUCUGCAAAGUAUGUUGUCAGCUUGGGUUAGUAUAUACAGUGCAUUCCGUAUGUUUUAUAAACAUGAUCAGGGGAAAUUGUUGCCUGAUGGCUAUUAAAGAACCGUCUAUGGCCCUCAUAUAUUCUUAUCACAGAUCUUUAAUAUCAAACUGUAAAAUUAAUACUACCCACUUGCCGUAGAUAAAAUAUUGUAUGCAACUAUUCAGUAAAUUACAUAAAAAUAAUACACAUUUUUCUGAAAAGACUUGUACAUGAGAUGUUUGCUGGUUUGGUCACAGCGUAAGAAUGGUAUAUGUUCAUUGUAGGAAUGUAUGCUUGGAGGGAGAUCGAGGAUGUUUGUUGGUCAUACUGUAAGAAUGGUAUAUGUUCAUUGUAGGAAUGUAUGAUUGAAACGAAGAUACGAUAUAGUGCCGUUUUGGCAAUGUCUUAUUCACGUCACGUCAUUCACGUUACGUCAUUCACGGUAAAAUAUCACGUUAAAGAGGUACACUGUUAGGAUGGUUUAAAGAUAAAUAGUCUAUACCAUUAGGGAAUAGAGUGUAGCAGAGACCAUUAGAGGCCAUUAGAAACCAUCAGGUCACUUUAUUUACGUCGCGUGAUUCACGUGACGUUAUGCACGUCACGUUCUGUUAGGCACUGUCACGUUCUGUUAGGCACUAUACGGAAAAGAAGAAGAAGAAUUGGCAAUUAAUGUUGAACGUUGACAGAAGAAGAAUUGACAGUUGCCAUCUGUGUCGCCACCGCUUUCAUUUGAUAUCCCAUACGUCAAAAUCGGAUCAUUAGCAAAGAAGAUAUGUUGUAAUGCCGUUUUGGCAAUGUCAAUUAGUUACGUGUUGCAGCCGACAGGUGGCAUGAUAAGAUGAAGAACUGUGAUAGGAUGUUUGAUGGUCGUACUGUAAGAAUGGUAUACGUUCUUCUAGAGGGCUUGGGCAUAGUUACAUGUUGCAGCCGACAGGUGGCAUGAUAAGAUGAAGAACUGUGAUAGGACUAAUAUAUCACCGUUUUGGCAGUGUUGCCAUGUUUCUCCUUCCCUUCGAUGUCUGUUGCGCUAAAAUUAAUAGCAACGAAGAUAUAGUGUCGUUUUGGCAUUGCUGACAUCUUUGUUUUUUAUGUUAACAUAUUCAAUAUCCCCUCUUUUUCCCAACGAGACCAUAUUCACACGAAUUGGACCAAUAGACACGAAGAUAUGAUAUAGUGCCGUUUUGUCAUUGCUGACAUCUUUGUUUAUAUGGUAACAUGCCUUCCUCUUUCCAACAAUAUAUGAUCAGUCAGGUCGGAGACAUGCUCUAAUGCUCUUUUGCUAAUGUCUUUGUGAUUGCUCCUCUUUCGUUUAAUGUCUUACAUGUAAUAAACGAACCAAUAACAACGCAGAUGGCAGAUAGGUGCUUCAUGGAUAAGUGUCUUAUUUGGCUUUCUGACUACACCCUGUAUAUUUUGCGAUAAACGAAAUAAAGAGGAGGCCAUCUUGGAAGGCGAGGGUUUGUGACGUAGGUGGGCCUGGCUGUGUUCCCAUUGGUCGUUGGGCGGGGCUUCGUUCUCAUUGGUCGGUGAUUGGGGCUAAGUUCUCAUUGGUCGCUGGACUUUGAUCUCAUUGGUCCAUGGGCGAUGCUGUGGGUGGGCGAGGCUUCCUUCUCAUUGGUCGGUGGGCAAUCAUUGGCCGGUGGGCAACCAUUGGUCUGUGGGCGUGGCUUUGUGGUGGGCGUGGCUUUGUGGUGGGCGUGGCUUUGUGGUGGGCGUGGCUUGCGGUGGGCGUGGCUUUGUGGU